AAUAGCAACUGAGAGAAGAAAAGAGUGAGACCAAGUCCUAAGGACAUGGUGUGAACCUGUAGAUGAGCAGCCAGCUGUACCUACAGCCUGGAGAUAACAGUUUGUCAAUAACUGAGAGAAGAAUGAAUGAUGUCUCAGAAUCAACCUAGGAAGGAUGAGGUGGUAGCCUUUGCUGAAGGAACAAGUAGAACUAAAGGAAGCUUAAAACAAUCUGCCUUCACUCUAUCUGCUUUGUAAUCAGCAAAGAAGGUUUGUAAGGUUGCCUUUGGGGCAGGAGCCCAUAAAUUCCUCCCUCAUCUGGCAGAUGAUCGUGUGAAAGGAGCAGAGAGACGUGUCUGUCUCAAUAUGAAGAAGACACAUAAAAUGUCCAUAGCUAUCUGUUAGUGGAAAUGGACAUCUCAGAAAGUAAGGGGCUCUGGGUCCUCAGAGGAGUUCAAACUGAAGAUAGGUGCUCUCUGCAGGGAACACUGGAGGAAAGAAAGGUAAUACAUAAAUGAUAAUUGGAUAGAUCUCCAAUUCUGCAAAUCUUGGACAAGCCACAGGAAAUUCUGAUGUCUUAAGUUCACAGUUUUAUCUAUGCACAUGGUAUGGUUUGGGUCUGUGUCCUCAUCCAAAUCACAUGUCAAAUUAGAAUUCCCAGUGUUG
rnacentral:lncRNA from 13 species